CACGUAGGGGGCAAGCGUUGUCCGGAUUUAUUGGGCGUAAAGAGCUCGUAGGCGGUUUCGUAAGUCGGGUGUGAAAACUCUAGGCUCAACCUAGAGACGCCACCUGAUACUGCGAUGACUAGAGUCCGGUAGGGGAGUGUGGAAUUCCUGGUGUAGCGGUGAAAUGCGCAGAUAUCAGGAGGAACACCAACGGCGAAGGCAGCACUCUGGGCCGGAACUGACGCUGAGGAGCGAAAGCGUGGGUAGCGAACAGG
rnacentral:rRNA from 1 species